GAUGAACGCUGGCGGCGUGCCUAAUACAUGCAAGUCGAGCGAACAGACGCGGAGCUUGCUCGUCGGACGUUAGCCGCGGAGGGGUGAGUAACACGUGGAUCACCUACCUAUAAGACUGGGAUAACUUCGGGAAACCGGGUCUAAUACCGGAUAAUAUAUUGAACCACAUUGUUCAAUGGUGAAAUACGGUGUUUCUGUCACUUAUAGAGGCAUCCCGGCCGCAUUAGCUGGUUGGUAAGGUCACGGGUUACCAAGGGUAGGAUGCGUUGCCGACCUGAGGGGGUGAUAGCCCACACUGGAGCUGAGACACGGUCCAGACUCCUACGGGAGGCAGCAGUAGGGAAUCUUCCGCAAUGGGCGAAAGCCUGACGGAGCAACGCCGCGUGAGUGAUGAAGGUCUUCGGAUCGUAAAGCUCUGUUAUUAGGGAAGAACAAAUGUGUAAGUAACUAUGCACGUCUUGACGGUAACUAAUCAGAAAGCCACGGCUAACUACGUG
rnacentral:rRNA from 1 species